rnacentral:rRNA from 1 species
AGAGUGAACGCUGGCGGCAUGCCUAACACAUGCAAGUCGAACGGUAACAGGCCCGCAAGGGUGCUGACGAGUGGCGGACGGGUGAGGAAUACAUCGGAAUCUGCCCGGUUGUGGGGGAUAACGUAGGGAAACUUACGCUAAUACCGCAUACGACCUACGGGUGAAAGCGGGGGACCUUCGGGCCUCGCGCAGUCGGAUGAGCCGAUGUCGGAUUAGCUAGUUGGCGGGGUAACGGCCUACCAAGGCGACGACGGGUA